rnacentral:rRNA from 1 species
UACGGGGGGAGCAAGCGUUGUUCGGAUUUACUGGGCGUAAAGGGCGCGUAGGCGGUCAGCGCAAGUCAGUUGUGAAAUCUCUGGGCUUAACCCAGAACGGUCAACUGAUACUGCGCGACUAGAGUGCAGAAGGGGCAACUGGAAUUCUCGGUGUAGCGGUGAAAUGCGUAGAUAUCGAGAGGAACACCUGCGGCGAAGGCGGGUUGCUGGGCUGACACUGACGCUGAGGCGCGAAAGCGUGGGGAGCGAACAGG